GUUACAGACGGAAGCUCUACAAGUUCGCGUGAUUAGUGUGUAUGGAGUGGCCACGCUGGAAAAAUAUUGUUGCUCAAAAUGAGCUACAAUCUCUAGAAAGUUAUUGAUGUUUCUGAUGUGGGUCACAGUCUCUUGAGAUUGUUGAGAGGAAAAAUCAAUUUAGAUAUGGAUGAAAAUUUCAUAUUAUAUUUAAAUCGAUUUUUGAAUAACAAUUUUGAGAAACUGUAAGCCAAAUCACAAUAUCACAAGUCACUGACUUUGUAGGUGUUGUAGAUUGUUUUGAGCAACGAUGUCUUUCCAACGCCGGCCAUUCCAUAUACACCAAUCACCCCAACUUGUAGAGUUUCAGCGAAC
rnacentral:pre_miRNA from 1 species